rnacentral:rRNA from 1 species
GAUGAACGCUAGCGGCAGGCUUAACACAUGCAAGUCGAGGGGCAGCGCGGGAUAGCCCUAUCCUGGCGGCGACCGGCGGAAGGGUGCGUAACGCGUGAGCGACAUGCCCGUUGCCCGGGGACAACCGGUGGAAACGCCGACUAAUCCCCGAUGGGAUAUUGUGCCGCAUGGCACGAUAUUGAAAGUUACGGCGGCGACGGAUUGGCUCGCGUCCGAUUAGCUGGUUGGCGGGGUAACGGCCCACCAAGGCUGCGAUCGGUAGGGGUUCUGAGAGGAAGGCCCCCCACAAUGGGACUGAGACACGGCCCAUACUCCUACGGGAGGCAGCAGUGAGGAAGAUUGGUCAAUGGGCGGAAGCCUGAACCAGCCAUGCCGCGUGCGGGAAGGAGGCCCUAUGGGCUGUGAACCGCUUUUGCCUGGGGGCAAUAAGGGCGUCGCGCACGUCCGAUGAGAGUACCAGGCGAAUAAGCAUCGGCUAACUCCGUG